rnacentral:scRNA from 1 species
CGGCGGAAUCCAUUGCCGAGGAAACGUUCGGG